rnacentral:RNase_P_RNA from 1 species
GGGAGAGGGAGGGCGACUGACGGUAGGGCCUCCGAGCCCAGCUGAGGAAGGUCCCUCCUCCAUGAGAAAGGUGGACCGCGAAAGUGGUUUGGCGAGAGCCAAGGCAAGGGCACAGAAACGGCACAGCCCCGGGGUAGCAUGAAUCGCUUGGCGAGGACGUUCCCCGAGGAUCUGGUGAAACGGCGACCCCCCACCGGAGCAAGCCCAAACAGCCGGAAUGACAGCUCAGGACCGGCGGGUAGGGCGCGCAGUUGAAUGUUGCCUGAAACAGAAGGGGGCCUACUACCCUCACCC